CUGUGACACAACAGUGCUGUGUGUGACACAACAGUGCUGAGUGUGACACAACAGUGCAAUGUGUGACACAACAGUGCUGAGUGUGACACAACAGUGCUGAGUGUGACACAACAGUGCAAUGUGUGACACAACAGUGCAAUGUGUGACACAACAGUGCAAUGUGUGACACAACAGUGCUGAGUGUGACACAACAGUGCAAUUGCUGACACAACAGUGCA
rnacentral:lncRNA from 1 species